AGCUCUCACGGGGCCACCUCGUGUUACAAUCCUUCCUUUAUGAAAAUUUCUGACAGACUGAGAAAAUGAACGUGACCACAAGGGAAAGUGAAUCCUACUGAUUUCUGGAAUGUUCCGGACCUCCAGUAAUUUAGCCUUAGGCCACUGGGAAGAAGCAAGACGCCCUCUUCUGGUGUAUCUGUGUAGAAGAAACUCCUACAAAGACCAGUGAUUCACAAGAAAUGGACACAUUGCACAACUCUUGCCAGUGAGGUGAAGUCUGGAACUUGUGGGAAAGUUCUUCUUUCCCUUCAGAAAAAAUGGAAAUAAGAAAAGCACCUAUUUUCCUGUCUCUGAAUGUCAUUAUGAGAGGCUGUAAUCCUGGGAACAGCCAUCUUGUGACCUUGAAGAAGGAAAAGUCAAGAUUAUUCCAGGAUAGCUGACAUCAUUGAGCUGUUAUCUGGACUUCAGUGGAAUUACUCAACACCCAGACUUCCUGUUAGGUAAGAUCACCCUGCCUUUAUUUAUUCAGCCAUUUUUAGUCAAGUCUUUUGUGGCUGGUAGCAAAAUACAUCCUGGGUGGUAUAAAAACUAUCCCUAGAGGCAUAGAAUCUGGAGAUUAUUUGGUUGGGGUAGAGGAGUUACUGAGACAGAGAAAAAGUGGCUGCCUAAGUUGUAGAAGUCAAACUUCCUGACAGGAUCAGUGUGCAUUUUUUCUCUACCCUACUGCCUUAUAGUGAAUGGCUUAUUAAUUUUAAGACCAUUGACAUACACUUGCAUUUGAAUGGUUUUCUUAUGAUUAUUGCUGUCAUUUUAAAUAAAAUAUUUAGCCUGCCUACCAGGUAAUGGGAAAUAUUUAGCUAGAGGGUUAGGAACUAGACUCAACCUUGUAAUUUAUCGCCUACAACUGUAAAUCAAGCCUAUGUCUGAGAGCUGCAGAGAAGGAUAAACAAUGACACAGCUGCCUCAGGUUUUUCAACAAUCUAUGGCAAGCCUGGACUUGCUCAACAAAUACACCACACCACAAAGAGAUGUGCUGCAUUUAAUCUGCAAUCUUAAAGGUACUUAAUUUUCAUUAUUGGUAUUUAGACACCCUCGAGGGCUUCAAUUAGAAAUCUUUUCUCUUGUAUUGCCAUGUUGUUAGGUAAAGAGGAGCAUGCGUUUUUUCAAACUUCCAUCUUGCAUGGCCUCUCAGGUCUUUGUCCAGCUGACACUUGCCUCUUGAGCACAAGGGAUUGAUGCAUCUCUGCUUUACCUGGGGAAUAGCAGCCCUGAGGUUCUUCAGAGGAGACCAGACUCCAUUUGCAGAGAGGGGAACAGAUACAGGGAGUUGUUUAAAUCAUACCAUUUCAGAGUCUUGCAACAAGUCCUUGAAAAAAAACUGCUGUAAAUAAGUCACAUCUUCUCUAUAAUGCAGAGCUAUGGUCCUGCCAAAACGACUUUGGUGGAAAGUCUUCCCUUUAGCUGCCUGAACUCUCCCCUGAGAAGCUACCUUAUCCUGAUCACCAUGAUUGAAGGAUGCUAGGUGUGAUUCUCAUUCAUUCCCUGCAAAUAAUCCUUUCCCUACCAUAAGAAGGCCAAGCCCAGCAGUCCUGCAUGCUUGGGAAAGCUGUCUGGGUCAUGGCAGCCAGAGGACCCCACAGUGACAAAGACAGUAGUGGUGGAAUCAUUUGACCCAGGGGCCUAACUUCUCCUGGAGAAACUUUGAUGAAAUGCUGACAGCAACCUUACCACAGCUUACAUCUUCCCCUGUCAUCCUGCCGAAGUAGCAACCUAGGCCACUUAGAGUGACUCUUGUGCUUGGAAGGUAGUCUAGUCUCCAGUGCUAACAAUAUUUGUAUUUUCCCCAAUUCUUUAAAACAGCAAAAGUCUCCUG
ensembl:lncRNA